rnacentral:misc_RNA from 1 species
GGAAGUUGCAUAAAUUGGAAGAAGAAAACAAAGAGAUAGUGCUGGCUUUAGAUGAAGCAUCAUCAAAGAACAAAGAAUUGAUACAAAAGCUUUGUGUGAGUAAUGAGCAGAUUGUGGGUCUUAAAAGACACUUACUGGAUUCUGAGAAGAAAUGUCUUGAAGCAGAGAAAAGGGCCCAAACAUCAGAAGAACUAGCGAAAAGGGAUGAUAUAAUCCAGAAAUUGGAGGAGGAUUACACAAAUGUUCAGGAGCAGCUUAAAUGGAAGCAAGAACAGUUUAACCAACUUGAAAAGGCUCGUGAAGGGUUCCAAGACCAGUUUCAUUUGCUUAAGGAGGAGUGGGAAAGAAAGAAUUCAGUGCUACUUGAAGAAAUAUCUUCAUUGCAGACUAGCUUGGAUUCUCAAAUCAGAAUCUCAGAAGAUUUUCAAACUCGUCUAGAGAUGUGCAGCCAAGCUUUAGAUCAUGAAGAGAGCAGGAGAAAACUUCUGGAAAUUCAAGUAUCAGAAUUAGAAUCUCGUUUUGGUUAUGUAUUUAACCAAUCCCUAGAGGAGAAGUCAAAGUUGGAAAACUUGACCAGUGAGAGGGAUGAAGAGAUUGCAAUGUUAAGAAAUUUAGUGGCAAAGAAAGAGGCACUUGCAAAGGAAAUGGAAUAUAAAAUUUCUCAACUUGAGCUAAGGAAUUGGGAAUUGGUGGAUUCUCAUAAAGUACUUCAAGAAGCUGAAAACAGUUAUGCCAAUGCUUUGCUGAAGGUGAUGAAUGAUAAGAUCAAAGGCUUAGAGCAGGAGCAUAGUAACUGUUUCACAAACCUCAAAGAAAGAGAAUUUGAAUGGAUUUCUCAAAUGGAACAAUUAAAAUUGGAAGUAAAUAGUUGUGAAUGUGAAAUGAAGAAAAAAGAAAAACAAAUGCAGGAGGUUCAGAUAGAGGUGGAAAAUUUGCAUUCUGCUGUUGAGAUUUUGAACAAAGCGAAUUUUAUAAUGCUUAUGGUCUUACAAUCAGAAUUUUCAGAAGCAUAUUCGAAUUUAAUGAAUGCAAACGCUGAGAUUGAGCUGCUCAACAAAGAGAAGGAAGAUAAGAUUAGCCUUCUCAUGAAGCAGUUGGAGAUGACAAACAAUGCUCUAAGCAGAACUCAUCUCUAUCUUGAGGAAUAUCAUAAGCAAGUAGCUUCCUUUUUGAAGAAGGUAGAGUCAUUGGAUCCUAUGGAACUGCAGCCAACUCUCUUGGAGGAAGGGCUUGACAGUCAUGAGGAAACAGUUGAGCAAGAGCAAAGCAUAGAUGAUCACAAACAGAUUGUUUCACUUGAAGCUGCAGCAGCAGUGAAACCAGAGGCAGAGGUGGUUUCCACAAAUGACAGGGAAAGUCUUCUCCAGCUUGCUGAAGAGGAAGCUAAUUGCACAGAUAAUCUCCAGAAAGCUGUCAUUUGCUUGAAGCAAGAAUCUUUCAGAAGAGAUUCAGAAGGUGCCAUUCUUGCAAGGCUAGAAUCUGAGCAACUGUGUGAACAAGAGAAAAUUAGCCUUUUAAAGUUGCCAAAUAAGGAAGAACAGUGCACUAAAGAUCUUCAGAAACAGGAGCAGAAUAUACAACAGAAACUGUCGUAUCAGGAGUUCUUGCCUCAUUCAAAGGAUGAGGCAAUGCAUCAUCAAGCAUUGCUGGAAGCUAACAUUUUGGAUAAUGAAAUUUCAAUGAAUCAAUUUUGGAACCAGCCAAAAAACACGGAGGGUAGAUUUGUGUUUGAAGGAGUUCUACUUCAAGAUGUGAUGAAGCAAAAUGCAGAAAGGGAGGAUAUGUUGGCUCAAGUUGAGGAUAUAUGUGACCAGAUUGAUGAAUUGUGUUGCAAAGAUGUUGAACUGAUGAAACUUUUGGAGAAGAUAUUGCACAUUUGCGAGGAAGAGUGUAGACCUGGGACGGAUUUGAAAGCAAGUAAUGAGCUGUGUGAUUCGCAAGACAAUGCAGACAGCACAUUUUGUCCCUCAACAAUGAAAUUUCAAGCAGGUACUUAUGAAAGAACACCAUUGAAAGAGCUAAACAAUUCGUAACAUUUAGAAGGAUUUAUAUUCUCAUGAAACCUCCCAUUUCCCAGAGGUACUCCAUUAGAACUUGUUUCAGAAUUUCAUUCCAGUGUCGAAGAUUUACAUCUCUAGCUAUUCUAUGCUUUGGUGUUCUCCAUGUGUAUAUAAUAUACGUCUACAUUGUUACACCAACCCAAAUUCAAUCUUAGACCUUCGAGUGUAGAUGACAUUAAGAAAGUGCGAAGAGCAAUUUUGUGUCUAAAGCUUAGAGGUACAACUCUUGCUGAAUUUUGUGUUACAGAAAAACUGGUAGCAAGAAUCAUCUGAUUCCAUCUCGCAAGUGUACUC